rnacentral:rRNA from 1 species
AACCUUUACACUGCACGCCAGUGCGAUAAGGGGAUCCCCAGUGCGAGGGCAUAUAGUCCUCGCUUUUCACCACCGUAGGGAGGUGGUGGAACAAGAGCUGGGCAAGACCGGUGCCAGCCGCCGCGGUAAUACCGGCAGCUCAAGUGAUGGCCGCCGUUAUUGGGCCUAAAGCGUCCGUAGCCUGCCAGGUAAGUUCGUCGGGAAAUCUACGUGCCCAACACGUAGGCGGCCGGCGAAACCUGCCUGGCUCGGGACUGGACGGCUCGAGGGGUACGACCGGGGUAGGAGUGAAAUCCUAUAAUCCUGGUCGGACCACCGGUGGCGAAAGCGCCUCGAGAGGACAGCUCCGACGGUGAGGGACGAAAGCCAAGGUCACGAACCGGAUUAGAUACCCGGGUAGUCUUGGCCGUAAACGAUGUCCGUUAGGUGUGGCGCAGGCUACGAGCCUGCGCUGUGCCGCAGUGAAGACGCUAAACGGACCGCCUGGGAAGUACGUCCGCAAGGAUGAAACUUAAAGGAAUUGGCGGGGGAGCAC